CCCGAGAAAAGCCCUGUCGGCUCCCUCUUCCUGGCUGCUAAAGUUGACACAAGACGGCUUCUUGGAACUCCCCCUCCUCCCGCCUAAAUGUACAGAGCAAGACUUGAAGUCAAAAGAUAGAUAGCGAUCGUGCUGAAAGUCAGGUGGAAAACAAGACUGCUAAUUUUAUGAAACAACCUAUCAACCCACUGGGAAGAGAUGACAAGAGAUCGAGAGCCUACAAAUCCGACAAAUAUGCCCACACUUUGACAGUAACCGCCUCCCAGCACGCCCCACCACCGCCAACACACAUGGAGGGGUUUGAACUUUUCCACCUUCCGGACCUCUGCAGUCCGUCGCAGGACGCCCAAACCACAGGCCGGACACAGAUGAAGCCAGACCACAGCCCCCGCCCCAGCCACCGCGGUAGGUGGGUGCCCAAGAGACUUCUCAGGUGAGGGCAGGGGCCCCCUGAAAGGCACUAGAGAAGGCCUGCCGCCCGAAUCUCCCCAAGUGCAGGGGAGAAUUACAUUUCCCCACCUCCUACCCAACCUGCCCCGGCCGAGUUAUGGACAUCGCCGCCUCAUUCUAGACUUGAAGGCACUCUGCGGCCACCAAGAGACCACUCCGCAUCCUAGGUCGAGCCUGUGGGAGAAGCACUCGGGGCCCGGGAGGCCGAGGUGGGAAUGCCUGCUCUUGGGAUAAGUGCCGCUACAUUUGUUGGGCGGCUUUGUCAGUUUAGAAAGCUUGUCCCUGCACUCUGACAGUUUCUGCUUGCAGGGCCGGGUGCCGAGGCGAGAUAGCCAGCUUCCCUGUUUCUUAGAAUAUUUCCGUAAACCAGACUGCAUCCGAGCAGCCGGGUGGUGGUACGGCUGGUAGCAGAAGGUGCAGAUGGUGCCAGGUUUGGAAACACACCCCACUGCAUAUUAUUCCACUUCACGAGUACUAAGGAGGAGUCCAGAAUUGGUGGCCGUCCUCCCUCUUGUUUUCUCAUGCAAAUAACUCAACACUCUAAUCGUAAAUCAAAGCUCCAGGGCCUACUUUUGCGAGGGGCACUGGAGAAAGAAGAGAGGGUUGCGCGCGCGCGUGCGGGAGCUUCGGAAGCUAAAUCUCACUCGCGGGGAGGAUGGGACGCGUGGGGACUGAAGGCGGCAUCUGCCUGAAUAAAGCCCUCGCGCGCUCUGAGCCUCCCACUCUGUCCUGGAGGCCUGAACCUCGCGAGUAGAGCCUGGCGCUUUUCCUCCCCGGGAGCACGACGGAUAGAAUGCGCGGGGUCGAGACGGUGUCGGUAGCGGGGGCCGCAGCGCUUUGCAAAGCCGGCCUCUGCCCCCGGCCUCCUUGGAGGGCGGUAGCGGGACCUGCGCUCGCAGCCUCUCCCCAGGGCUGUGCGCUUCGGCCUGGCGGCUGCCGGGCAAAAACCUCAUUUAUUUCCUUCCUUCCCGAGUGAGCUCACUUCCUCCCCGCGCCGCUCCCUUCCGUCGGCCGGAACCCGCUCCUGGGCCGCGCGGCUGCAGCCGGGAGCGCGGACUCGGGGUGUCGGGCGGUGUCCGCGCCCCUCCCCACCCCAGGGCCCUUCUCGGGGGAGAUAUCCAGGAGCUGAAAGAGAUUCCUCAGGAGGAAGUGGAAACCUCUGAAAGGAGAGGAAACCGACUCUUUUGCAAGAAAACUGAGCGCCGGCUGGAAGGCAAGGAAGCCGAGGCGGCCGGGGAGAUUCACCCACAUGCCUGUUGACUCGGGCCCAGUACCUGCGUCUCCUUCCUUCUCUUUCUGGCCCUCAUUUCCCCUGCUUCUCACUUUAGUUCACUGCUGUUUUAAAAAUUCAUAUGCGGGCUCAUUUAAAAAGCAAUUUCACAUUUUAAAGACUGCAGCAGCAGAGGGAGAAUUACAAAUAGGAUUGAUUUAAUUAGCUGGUAAUGCUUCUCUCAUGCCCUAUAAUUAAACAGAAAUCCUAAUGGCGUUUCAGGGCCCAAAAGUGAUUAUUACUAGCAUAUUUUACAUUUACAUUAAAACGCUGUCCCCGGGGUGUAAUCCAGGAUCUGGCUCCAUUUAUUCAAAUUUCUAACCUGAGUACUGAAGCCAGAAUACUGCUCCCCAGCAAUGGAAGGAUGGCGUGUGGGGGCUGUGGUUUGGUUUGUUUGGCUAAUUUUAACUUUUGUUCUGUUCUGUUCCUAAGGCCUAAGGAAAGCAGCCGAUGGCUCCCAAGACAACUCUGUCCGGCCAGUACUCCAGGGCAACUUCAACCCCACUAGGACCCAGGCCAAAACCAUAUAUAUAUAUAUAUAUAUAUAAAUUAACGCAAAACAGAGCCACUUUGGUGCCUACCCCUCCACAAGUAGGUAGGCACAUCCAGGUAGCUCUGUCAGAAGAUGGGACCUGGCGCCUUGCAGGGGUAGCCCUAUGGAGAUCCAGAAGCCCCGUUUCGAGCUACGAAGUCUCUCUUCUACUGCAGUCUUCUCUCCAACGUGGAGAUCUAGCAACUUCCCUCCCCCUGGGAUUCCCUGUGAAUCCACUCUAGUUGGGAUAUAGCCUCUCUACAGCUCAGUGACGUAGCGCGCCAAAACCAAGUACCCACCCCGGCAACUGGAAGACCUAGCUGUCCUCCAUCCCGCCUCCGCAGUCGAUAAUCUCCAGGAUCCAAGCAAAGUGCCUGUCCACGUUGUCACCAGAUCCACAAGCGCUUUUGAUGAGAGCUGCUACCCUUUUGGAAACACGAUUCCCUCUCCCUAGUAGAGAAGAAUCUAUUCUUCUGGGCUGGCGUAGACAAAGAAUAACCAAGAUAAAGUAUGUGGUGUGAAAAUAUCAGCUGCCUCUUCUUUUUUUGUUUUUGAAACGGAGUCUCGCUCUGUCUCCUAGGGUGGAGUGCAGUGGCACUAUCUCUGCUCACUGCAACUUCCGCCUCCUGGAUUCAAGCGAUUCUCCUACCUCAGCCUCUGGAGUAGCUGGGACUAUAGGCGCCCGCCACCACGCCCGGCUAAUUUUUUGUAUAUUUAGUAGAGACGGGGUGGGGGGGUGUUUCACCAUGUUGGCCAGGCUGGUCACGAACUCCUGACCUCAAAUGAUCGGCCCACCUCGACCUCCCAAAGUGCUGGGAUUACAGGCGUGAGCCACCGCGCGCCGGGUGGAAAACAUUAGCUUCUAAUAGCAGUCUUGGAGUGGAGUGAAGACGUUCAGGAAGUGGUGGAGAUAGGCCUGCUCAAUUAACCGGCCCCAGAUAUCAUUUCUCUGGCUACCUCUUUUCUCGCCUGGCCUGGCCCUCUAUACCGUUUUUUGUUUGUUUGUUUUGUUUUGUUUUUUUUCUGCAAAACGUUUUCUGCUGCAACUUUCUCUUUAUUUAUGCCUUUAUCUUUCUUAAACAAGAGGUCCCUGGAAAUAACUAACUAAGGAGGGGAGAGGAACCCCCUCACCCCCAAUUUCAUGAAUGAGUGCUACAUUCAUGCUGGCCGGGUACCAAGAGCAUCUUUAGAUCUUUAGACCUGAGUCUUCUCAUCUGUGAAAAAGAGGUUAAAGCAGAUGAACCCUAAAGGCCCAUUUCCAGUCUUAAAUUCAACACUUUCAAGACAAAACUUUUCUUCUGUAUUCCUGAGUGUGUAUAUAUAUGUUAUGUAAUAUAUAUUAUAAUGUAUAUAUAUAAACUUGGCUUAGUAAUGUUCUGUGCUGAGAUGCAGAUGAGGAGGACAUUUUAAACUUCUAAGGGUGCCCUCCCUCUGGUUGUUUCCUCCCAGACGAGCAUUCUUUGUGGAACAGAAAGAGAUCCUCAGGGUGGAAAGCACCAGAGGCAGGUCUCCUGAAUACGGUGCUGUCCAAGUCUACUCAUGGUCACAUGAUUCAUUAGGACUGUAAAUCCUCAUCAGAACACAAGCAUCAGACUCUCUGACCCUGCCAAUUCAAGUACUAAUGGUAAAAUCGUCCAAGAGGCUGGCCAACAUAUGCACACAUUAAUUAGAGUUAUGUGGGCCUUUGGCUUCCAGUCUGAUGAACAGCUCCAGGGAUGCAGGGGGCAGAGGGUUUGGGGUCCUUUUCACCCAGCAGAUGCCCUUUGGUCCUGAGAGGGCAUUAGUCCAAUACAGUGGGUGAUCUGAAAGCUAACCCCUUUCAGAGGAUGGCUUAACCUCAGCAACUAGGCUAAAACCUAGCAGUGGGUCCCUAAGAGGGACAGGGGAAAAAAAUCUGUUCAGAGGAAAUGAGAAUCAG
rnacentral:lncRNA from 1 species